rnacentral:rRNA from 1 species
UACGUAGGGUGCGAGCGUUGUCCGGAAUUAUUGGGCGUAAAGGGCUCGUAGGCGGUCUGUUGCGUCGGGAGUGAAAACUCAGGGCUUAACCCUGAGCCUGCUUCCGAUACGGGCAGACUAGAGGUAUGCAGGGGAGAACGGAAUUCCUGGUGUAGCGGUGAAAUGCGCAGAUAUCAGGAGGAAUACCGGUGGCGAAGGCGGCAUCCUGGACCGGCAUUGACGCUGAGGAGCGAAAGCCAGGGGAGCAAACGGG